CUAAGGGACGAUAGAAAGCAAAGUAUAGCUAAUGAAUUAUUUGUUGAUUAAUUAAUUUAAAUAUAUAUAUGUAGAGAAGUUAACAGGAAUGCAAACAAAAAUAAAGUGAGGUGAGGGGGCUAGCAAGAAAAGAAAUUCUGACUGUCUUCUGCCCCCCAUGGAGCACAUUUGUAGCAGGAAGUAGGAGGGGUUGGAGGAGACGGGAAAGAAGCAGAGAACAAAUGGAGGUGUCCAGGCCAGCAGCCCUGAGAUGCUCUUUGUAUCUCCACCCCAGACCACCCCCAAAUGACAGCAGAAAAGUGGCAGCUGGAGUGAUAGGCCUGGCAUCAGAGGAAGGACUGGGUCCAAGGGAGAAGGGGCCCACCCUUGGCUGAGUUCACCUAAUGAGACUGAUCUAACAGUCACAAGAUGUUUCCUCCUGAGAGACAAGUGCCAGGAAUUGAACCUAGGGAUCCACAUGUACUAUGGAAGCACUUUACCAUUCUGCUACACUUUCCAGCCCCAUGUCUUUAAUUUUAAUGAAUAAAAAGUAUUUUCAAAAAAUACUGCUAAUCUGAGAAAAUGCUUAUUGAACAAUACUAAUUCAAGAGCAAAUAAAAUGUUAAAAUA